CUUCCCAGCCCCGCACAUAGAACCGCCGCCUCUCGCGUUUCUCUCUCUUUCUCUCCUCAGACUUACCCUCGGGUUCCGGCCGGUGCCGGGCGCGCCCCUCCACCGCCGCCUCCUCCAUGGAGCUACUCUACCUCCCCGCCUUAAGGGCCCGGCCCCGCCGCCGCCAUCAUCAUCUCCGCCGCCACUGGUGCCUGAGGAGAGGGAGAAGGGGAGGCUUGCGCGCCGCAGCCGCUGCCGCGAUCCCAAAGCUCGGCUCAGUUCGGCGCUCCCUCAGCGCGGCCGCCGCCGCCAGAAAAGGAAGGAGGGAGGGGGAGAGCUUGAGGGGCUCUGAGGAGCGUGGAGCACAGAAGCCCGGAUCUGAGGGUGGAAAGAAAACGCGGAGGCAGGAUUAAAGAGCGAGAGGGAAAACCCGGGAGGAGGAUUUCUUGUCCACGCGCUCCUCCUGGGAACAGAAGGAAACCCUGGAGCAUGGAGCCUCACUCAAGGGCGCGGAUUGGGGGCGGCGGAGGGGGAAGGAGACAGGGUGAGUUGUAAAACGACGACGGGAAGAAGAAACUCCCCACACGAGGAGGAGGAGGAAAGAGAGAGGAAACGCCCCCUCCCCGCUCCAAAGGCGUAAAGCGAGUCCGCAGGAGGCGGCCUGGACUCCGCGACCCCUUCAAUUCGGAGGAAUCCAGUCGCGCCGCCCUGUUCAAGGCAGGUGUGCUCCGAAGUGAGCCCCACGGAGUACAAGGAGGAGGGCUACUCUCAACACAGAUGCAGACUGGGAUAAGGUCUCAACUUAAAAGCCGUGUUGAAAGAGGGUCUUCAAUAGACACUGAAAAGGUAACAGUGCCUGUCUAAUAUUUAAGGGGAGGGAAUUCCACAGGGUAGGUGCCGCCACGCUAAGGGUCCAUUUCCUAUGUUGUGCAGAAUGGACCUCCUGAUAAGAUGGUAUCUGCAGGAGGCCCUCACCUGCAGAGCGCAGAGAUCGACUGGGUGUAUAAGAGUAGGAGCCCAGGGCAGCAGAUAGCAAGAGUUCCUGCUGAAUCUCUGUUGGAAGUGUUUCACAGCAUGGGAUCACCAAUAUUAAAUGCCUGGGUUCUAGUGGACACCAACCAGGGCUCUGUAACAUGGAGAAUAACUAACAGUGCUCUUCUAGAUGACCUCAGUGAUUGAGCUGGGACAUAAGGUCUCAGGUGGUCCCUAAGGUACCCUGGACCCAAGACGUUCAGGGCUUUGUAUAUUAAUGUUUCAGACUGCAAAUCCAAUUCAAAGACCCAGGCUAUGGUCUGAAAGCACAUGAGGCCAGCACCCUACUGAAGCUAACCAGGGUCAGGUCUGGUCAGUGCCUGGAUGGGAGACCACCUGGGAACCAAAUGUAAGCCGCCUUGGGUUUCUAUCAUGAAA